rnacentral:rRNA from 1 species
UACAGAGGGUGCAAGCGUUGUUCGGAAUUAUUGGGCGUAAAGAGCUCGUAGGCGGUCUGUCGCGUCUGCUGUGAAAACUCAGGGCUUAACCCUGAGCUUGCAGUGGGUACGGGCAGACUAGAGUGCGGUAGGGGAGACUGGAAUUCCUGGUGUAGCGGUGAAAUGCGCAGAUAUCAGGAGGAACACCCGUAGCGAAGGCGGCACUCUGGGCCGAUACUGACACUGAGGAGCGAAAGCGUGGGGAGCGAACAGG